GAGGGUAUAGCUCAAGUGGUAGAGCACAUGGUUAGCAUGCAUGAGGUCCUGGGUUCAAUCCCCAGUACCUCCU
rnacentral:tRNA from 1 species